AAGUUUUUACAAACGCAGACAGUGGAUGCCUUGGUGUAACCUACCGAAGAAGGACGUACAUGGUCGCGAUAGUCGUCGGGGAGCUGCCACGAAGCUUUGAUCCGACGGUGUCCGAAUGGGGAAACCCAGCCAGUUUUACUGGCUACGCCAGAGCCAAGAUGUCUUGCACAGUGUGCAUAAAACUGGAAUCUACAAAUCUACAAAUUUCAAAUCUGCAAAUAAAUAUACAAAUGAUUAAAUGAAUUAAAUCAUUUAAAAAUUAAAACAUUUAUUUGCUUAUUAUGAACUUGCUUAUUUGCUUAUUCCAGAGUUUGUGCCUGCUAUGCAGGACAUAUAACUCUGGUUGUGGAAACCACCUGAACUGAAACAUCUAAGUAAGGUGAGGAAAAGAAAUCAACGAGAUUGCCUAAGUAGCGGCGAGCGAAAUGGCAAGAGCCUAAACUCGCCUUGUGCGUUGCACAAGAACGAUAAUCUACAAAUCUACAAAUUUCAAAUCUGCAAAUAAAUAUACAAAUGAUUAAAUGAAUUAAAUCAUUUAAAAAUUAAAACAUUUAUUUGUAAUUUGCUUAUUUGUUUAUUUGCUUAUUGUAGUUCUCGCGCAGCGCGCGAGGUGGGGGUUGCGGGACUCUAAUAUGGGAGUGAUUGAAGUAGCAGAAUGGCAUGGAAUUGCCAACCAUAGAUAGUGAAAGUCUAGUAUGCGAAAUUUCAAUCACCCCUAGGAGUAUCCCAAGUACCACGAAGCACGUGUCUUUGUGGGAAUCUAGGGGAACCAUCCUCUAAGGCUAAAUAUAGGUUGCAACCGAUAGUGAACUAGUACCGCGAGGGAAAGGUGAAAA
rnacentral:rRNA from 1 species